CACACAUCGGAUCUCUUACGUAAUGGGUACAAGCACCGUGUACAUAUACAAGAUGUCUUCCAGGAAGGGUAAAGAGGCAACUUCUUCUUCCAAAAGAAGAAAGACCACCACAUCUCAGGGAAGAAAUGCAGCCCCCAGUUCCUCUUCAUCACGGGCCCGACCCACAAGGGAGGCCUUUGUUGACCCGACAGACUUCAACGAGAGCUUGUUCCAUAGCCUUGAAGUAUUUGUGGUCGAUCUUCUCUAAGAGGUUGAUCAUGAUGGAGAAGAUCGUGAUGACAGAGGACUUUAGAGCUUUCCAGUUGUUGGACAAAUUCACCGUCCUAGGUUAGCAACCUAUGUUCUAUCCUGACAGCCCCUGCUAUGAGGACUUGGUUCAGUAUUUCUAUUGUAAUUUGGAGGUCUCCUAUGAGAAUGGGGAGUACUCCCUCACUAGCCUGGUGAAGGGGGUAAACAUUGUCUUGACUGUGGAUCUACUAGCGAGAAUUCUAGGGAUCUCCGCUGAGGGUGCCCAUUUUUACUACCCCCCAAGGAUCAAGGUCGUGGGCCCAAACUUGAGUCCCAAGAAGCAGGAGAGCAUUUAUAUCACUAUCAGUGGUAGGAAGGAGUGUCCAUUGUCUGAGACAGCCUACAAUGCAGACGCCCGUGUGUUGCCCGCUUGGCCCAGUUCAACCUGCUCCCUAGAGCGAGUCACGGGAACCAAGUGAGUUUUAUGACUGCCUACCUCGCCUAUUGCAUCUAUAUAGCCUUAGAAGAGGGUGCAUCCCAUCUCUGGAUCCUUACAUCAUGAUGAAAACUAUGGAAUACCACACAGCGCACUGUAAAUAUUUAGGAUUCCCCUAUAGAAGAUCACUCACCAAGGUCUUUGAGUACUUCCAAGUGGACUUGAUCGGCGAGAAGGGAAAUAUCCCAGGGACAAGUUCACCCAGGAGAACUUGAGAAUGAUGGGUUUGCCAAUUCCAAUGGGUGCACCACAGGAGGUAGAAGAACAAGGGGCAGAGGAUAUGGAGGGAGGAUAUGAUAGUGAGGAGGAUGAGGACUACUUCUCUCAUCCCAAUGAGGAGGAGAUCCUCGAGGAGGAGCCUCUGGAGACCAGAGUCGCAAAUUUGCAUUUUAGAGCUCCACCACCAUCAGGUGGGGCUUUUGACUUCCAAAGGUUGAUGGAUAGUGAGAGGGCCCUGAAAGAUAAGCAAGAUAGGAUUUGAAGCACGUGGAGGAGAGUGCCGCCUAGGAAUUGGUGAUACAAAUCAAGUUGGGAAGGAUGGAGGCUGAUUUUUAGUCCUUAGCUAAUGACUUGGACAAGGUUUCCAAGGGUAUUGCCGUUGAUUUCCACCAGGUGAAGAAGGAGGUCACCUUGACAAAUGACAAGGUUGACUUUUUUGACUAUCACUUUCAUUGCACCUCGCAGCCUAAAAGUGGGAAGACAUUCACCUUGUUUGACGAUGACUAAUGGAGUGGCUGAUCCUUUCUAAUUUUCUCCCUCUUGGAGCCUUCCUCUCUACUUUUCUCUUUUCUGGCCUUAUCCUUCAUUCCUCUUUCUCUAUUUGAUAAUGAUGAUUAUGAUACUUUGGUGAUUGUAUUUUUGGUACAUUUCUAUGGUUUGGAACUUGAUGACGUGUUUAUGUGGAUGUUUGGAACUUUAGGAUAAGUUUUAUUUA